rnacentral:tRNA from 1 species
GAUUCGGUGGUGGAGUGGUUAACACGGUCGCCUGCUAAGUGGCUGCCUUCUGGGCGCGCGAGUUCGAAUCUCGUCCGAAUCG